rnacentral:rRNA from 1 species
UGGCGAGUGGCGAACGGGUGAGUUAACGCAUCGGAUGACCAGUAGUGGGGGAUAACUAGUCGAAAGACUGGCUAAUACCGCAUACGCACUGAGGUGGAAAGCGGGGGAUCGCAAGACCUCGCGCUAUUGGAGCAGCCGAUGUCCGAUUAGGUUGUUGGUGGGGUAAUGGCCUACCAAGCCGACGAUCGGUAGCUGGUCUGAGAGGACGACCAGCCACACUGGGACUGAGGCACGGCCCAGACUCCUACGGGAGGCAGCAGUGGGGAAUUUUGGACAAUGGGGGCAACCCUGAUCCAGCAAUGCCGCGUGUGUGAAGAAGGCCUUCGGGUUGUAAAGCACUUUUGGCGGGAACGAAACGGCGCUUGCUAAUACCAGGCGCCAAUGACGGUACUCGCAGAAUAAGCACCGGCUAACUACGUGCCAGCAGCCGCGGUAAGACGUAGGUGCAAGCGUUAUCGGAAUUACUGGGCGUAAAGCGUGCGCAGGCGGUUUUGUAAGACAGGCGUGACAAUCCCGGGCUUAACCUGGGAACUGGGCUUGUGACUGCAGACUAGAGUGUGUCCAGGGAGUGGAAUUCGGUGUACAAGUGAAAUGCGUAAA